rnacentral:rRNA from 1 species
AGUCGAGCGGGGAAGGUAGCUUGCUACUGGACCUAGCGGCGGACGGGUGAGUAAUGCUUAGGAAUCUGCCUAUUAGUGGGGGACAACAUUCCGAAAGGAAUGCUAAUACCGCAUACGCCCUACGGGGGAAAGCAGGGGAUCUUCGGACCUUGCGCUAAUAGAUGAGCCUAAGUCGGAUUAGCUAGUUGGUGGGGUAAAGGCCUACCAAGGCGACGAUCUGUAGCGGGUCUGAGAGGAUGAUCCGCCACACUGGGACUGAGACACGGCCCAGACUCCUACGGGAGGCAGCAGUGGGGAAUAUUGGACAAUGGGCGGAAGCCUGAUCCAGCCAUGCCGCGUGUGUGAAGAAGGCCUUUUGGUUGUAAAGCACUUUAAGCGAGGAGGAGGCUCCUUUAGUUAAUACCUAAAGUGAGUGGACGUUACUCGCAGAAUAAGCACCGGCUAACUCUGUGCCAGCAGCCGCGGUAAUACAGAGGGUGCGAGCGUUAAUCGGAUUUACUGGGCGUAAAGCGUGCGUAGGCGGCUUUUUAAGUCGGAUGUGAAAUCCCUGAGCUUAACUUAGGAAUUGCAUUCGAUACUGGAAAGCUAGAGUAUGGGAGAGGAUGGUAGAAUUCCAGGUGUAGCGGUGAAAUGCGUAGAGAUCUGGAGGAAUACCGAUGGCGAAAGCAGCCAUCUGGCCUAAUACUGACGCUGAGUACGAAAGCACGGGGAGCAAACAGGAUUAGAUACCCUGGUAGUCCAUGCCGUAAACGAUGUCUACUA